GGGGAGAAAACACUAGGUAGAUCUGUGAUAGCAGCAACCUCUAUGGGCACGAUAUUAAUGUAAACUAGUUCAUAUUCUUAUUUAUCCACAACCCGUCAACCAAAAGAAUCCCAGAGAAGACAAACUGCAGACACCAUGGACAGAGGAGAAAAACGUGGAGGCGCCCAGGUACUGAGAUCCGGCAUAAGGAAGAAAAGACAAUAAGCAUAAAUAAAGGCAAGUAGCAAGAGCGAACUUUGCAGAGUCAUUUAUCAAUGACUUUGGUUUUUACUAUAUAUUGGGGCUGAUGUGUACUGUAGUCAUUGCUGCCAGCCCAGUAGUGAUGGGAGUGAGCGCAGGACUUCUCUUUUUGUAUUUGUAUUUAUCAAUGAAUGCCUACAAGAAAACAUUAGUUAUCAGAAACAACACGCUGUAGAACAGGGGUGUCCAGAAGGUAGAUCCCCAGAGUUUUUAAAACUACAGCUUCCAUGAUGCUUUGUCAUUCUAAAGCAUUCUAACGGCAUGCAAAGCAACUGAGGAGCUGUAGUUCUG